AGAGGGUCAUACUCUGACAGUGGAGGAAGGGGCCACAAACCAAGCUACCAGCAACUAUGAGAAGCUGAAAAAGGCAAGAAAAUGGAUUUUAUUCUCAGAGCUUUCAGAGGGAACCAGCCCUGUGGACACCUUAACAUUAACACUGCAAAUGGGUUUCAGACUUCUGACUUCUAAAACUCUAAGAGGAUAGAGUUGUGUUGUUUUAAGACACCAGCUACCACUCUGGCUCAUCUCCUGAUGCUUGGAUUGUAACUAAAGUCUUCAAACAGUUUAUCUACAUUUUCUCUCUACUACAGUAUAUCCUCAACACAGUCAAGAUGACAAUCUCCAAUUUUCAAAAGAUCAAAAUUUCACAACCUUCAUAAGAUUUUCCUUCUUAUAUAAGAACCACCAGUCACUUCCUACAACCUGGUCUACCAGUCUGCAUUUGCCUUAAUAUUUUUGGUGAGCCAUUAACAUAUUACCCUGCUCCAAAGCACCAGCCCCUCAGAUUCAUAACUCAGUGUGUUCUAAAUAUGUUCUCUCCUCCUAGAAGCUGAUUCCCUCUGAUCAAUCCCAUUAUUUGGCUUGCUCAUUCCAACUACCUCUAAUGCCUACCUUAAAUAGCCUUAAAGAACUAUUCCUAGCUUUAUUUCCUACAACUCUGAUCACUUACUGAGUCUGUCAAUGAAAAUUCAUUACAAUAUUCUCCUUGGACCGCAUACUCAAUUAUAGAUGAGACAUUUGCUAAUUGAAUUUCUCUUUGAUUUGGACCUAGAAGAGAUAUGACACACUGAAUACAAUACACAAUACAUUAUAGGAAGAUUUGACAUCAUCCCUGCCUCUCUGCAUUCUCUCUUCCCUCUUCAGAAUUUCAGCUCCAAAUUAGGCCCUUCCACCAUCAUUCACGACAGCCAAACAUGACUCUGUUAUUGCACUAUUGUAUUAUAUUGUUAGCUCCUAAGACUAAAAUUUUCAAUUUGGAAGGCAAGAACAACACCCAGUCAUUACAUUAAGAGAAUAUAAUGUUAUACAACAACGACUAAUAUUAGGUUUUCAAUAAAUUAAUCAAUCUAUCCAUUUAUGGAGAGUAGCCACUAUGUGUCAGACAAUGGUUCAUUUAAUACAGAUUUUUCAGUGAGCAAAUGAACAUAAUCCUAAGUGAAUAAAUAAAAGUGCAUCUUCAUAUUCC